UUAAGCGACUAAGCGUACACGGUGGAUGCCCUGGCAGUCAGAGGCGAUGAAGGACGUGCUAAUCUGCGAUAAGCGUCGGUAAGGUGAUAUGAACCGUUAUAACCGGCGAUUUCCGAAUGGGGAAACCCAGUGUGUUUCGACACACUAUCAUUAACUGAAUCCAUAGGUUAAUGAGGCGAACCGGGGGAACUGAAACAUCUAAGUACCCCGAGGAAAAGAAAUCAACCGAGAUUCCCCCAGUAGCGGCGAGCGAACGGGGAGCAGCCCAGAGCCUGAAUCAGUGUGUGUGUUAGUGGAAGCGUCUGGAAAGGCGCGCGAUACAGGGUGACAGCCCCGUACACAAAAAUGCACAUGCUGUGAGCUCGAUGAGUAGGGCGGGACACGUGGUAUCCUGUCUGAAUAUGGGGGGACCAUCCUCCAAGGCUAAAUACUCCUGACUGACCGAUAGUGAACCAGUACCGUGAGGGAAAGGCGAAAAGAACCCCGGCGAGGGGAGUGAAAAAGAACCUGAAACCGUGUACGUACAAGCAGUGGGAGCACGCUUAGGCGUGUGACUGCGUACCUUUUGUAUAAUGGGUCAGCGACUUAUAUUCUGUAGCAAGGUUAACCGAAUAGGGGAGCCGAAGGGAAACCGAGUCUUAACUGGGCGUUAAGUUGCAGGGUAUAGACCCGAAACCCGGUGAUCUAGCCAUGGGCAGGUUGAAGGUUGGGUAACACUAACUGGAGGACCGAACCGACUAAUGUUGAAAAAUUAGCGGAUGACUUGUGGCUGGGGGUGAAAGGCCAAUCAAACCGGGAGAUAGCUGGUUCUCCCCGAAAGCUAUUUAGGUAGCGCCUCGUGAAUUCAUCUCCGGGGGUAGAGCACUGUUUCGGCAAGGGGGUCAUCCCGACUUACCAACCCGAUGCAAACUGCGAAUACCGGAGAAUGUUAUCACGGGAGACACACGGCGGGUGCUAACGUCCGUCGUGAAGAGGGAAACAACCCAGACCGCCAGCUAAGGUCCCAAAGUCAUGGUUAAGUGGGAAACGAUGUGGGAAGGCCCAGACAGCCAGGAUGUUGGCUUAGAAGCAGCCAUCAUUUAAAGAAAGCGUAAUAGCUCACUGGUCGAGUCGGCCUGCGCGGAAGAUGUAACGGGGCUAAACCAUGCACCGAAGCUGCGGCAGCGACGCUUAUGCGUUGUUGGGUAGGGGAGCGUUCUGUAAGCCUGUGAAGGUGUGCUGUGAGGCAUGCUGGAGGUAUCAGAAGUGCGAAUGCUGACAUAAGUAACGAUAAAGCGGGUGAAAAGCCCGCUCGCCGGAAGACCAAGGGUUCCUGUCCAACGUUAAUCGGGGCAGGGUGAGUCGACCCCUAAGGCGAGGCCGAAAGGCGUAGUCGAUGGGAAACAGGUUAAUAUUCCUGUACUUGGUGUUACUGCGAAGGGGGGACGGAGAAGGCUAUGUUGGCCGGGCGACGGUUGUCCCGGUUUAAGCGUGUAGGCUGGUUUUCCAGGCAAAUCCGGAAAAUCAAGGCUGAGGCGUGAUGACGAGGCACUACGGUGCUGAAGCAACAAAUGCCCUGCUUCCAGGAAAAGCCUCUAAGCAUCAGGUAACAUCAAAUCGUACCCCAAACCGACACAGGUGGUCAGGUAGAGAAUACCAAGGCGCUUGAGAGAACUCGGGUGAAGGAACUAGGCAAAAUGGUGCCGUAACUUCGGGAGAAGGCACGCUGAUAUGUAGGUGAAGUCCCUCGCGGAUGGAGCUGAAAUCAGUCGAAGAUACCAGCUGGCUGCAACUGUUUAUUAAAAACACAGCACUGUGCAAACACGAAAGUGGACGUAUACGGUGUGACGCCUGCCCGGUGCCGGAAGGUUAAUUGAUGGGGUUAGCCGCAAGGCGAAGCUCUUGAUCGAAGCCCCGGUAAACGGCGGCCGUAACUAUAACGGUCCUAAGGUAGCGAAAUUCCUUGUCGGGUAAGUUCCGACCUGCACGAAUGGCGUAAUGAUGGCCAGGCUGUCUCCACCCGAGACUCAGUGAAAUUGAACUCGCUGUGAAGAUGCAGUGUACCCGCGGCAAGACGGAAAGACCCCGUGAACCUUUACUAUAGCUUGACACUGAACAUUGAGCCUUGAUGUGUAGGAUAGGUGGGAGGCUUUGAAGUGUGGACGCCAGUCUGCAUGGAGCCGACCUUGAAAUACCACCCUUUAAUGUUUGAUGUUCUAACGUUGACCCGUAAUCCGGGUUGCGGACAGUGUCUGGUGGGUAGUUUGACUGGGGCGGUCUCCUCCUAAAGAGUAACGGAGGAGCACGAAGGUUGGCUAAUCCUGGUCGGACAUCAGGAGGUUAGUGCAAUGGCAUAAGCCAGCUUGACUGCGAGCGUGACGGCGCGAGCAGGUGCGAAAGCAGGUCAUAGUGAUCCGGUGGUUCUGAAUGGAAGGGCCAUCGCUCAACGGAUAAAAGGUACUCCGGGGAUAACAGGCUGAUACCGCCCAAGAGUUCAUAUCGACGGCGGUGUUUGGCACCUCGAUGUCGGCUCAUCACAUCCUGGGGCUGAAGUAGGUCCCAAGGGUAUGGCUGUUCGCCAUUUAAAGUGGUACGCGAGCUGGGUUUAGAACGUCGUGAGACAGUUCGGUCCCUAUCUGCCGUGGGCGCUGGAGAAUUGAGGGGGGCUGCUCCUAGUACGAGAGGACCGGAGUGGACGCAUCACUGGUGUUCGGGUUGUCAUGCCAAUGGCACUGCCCGGUAGCUAAAUGCGGAAGAGAUAAGUGCUGAAAGCAUCUAAGCACGAAACUUGCCCCGAGAUGAGUUCUCCCUGACUCCUUGAGAGUCCUGAAGGAACGUUGAAGACGACGACGUUGAUAGGCCGGGUGUGUAAGCGCAGCGAUGCGUUGAGCUAACCGGUACUAAUGAACCGUGAGGCUUAACCUU
rnacentral:rRNA from 1 species